AUAGGGGCAGUUCCUCACCAACCAAUGUCAUAAUUUAUCACGUCCGCAAAUGAUUUUUGGACUGUAGUUUGGAUUGUUCUGCCGAGCGUAUAACAACGCAUGCUAUCUAUCAAAGCUUCGACUCAUUUGUUUUGCUGCUCCGGAAUAUUGAGACGAGAAGAAUGGCCUUGAUGCUGGAGGUUAAUGGAUCACCCUGGGAACGAUUUUGAGGUCAUUAUGCCAGCUACUUUGAUGGCAAUGGAUUAUGGAAUGGCAAACUAACAGGGCACAUCGCACAACUGGUAUAAAUGUGUUGAUAUGUUGCAUUUCAAGGCAGUUUCACUCAUAAAUACUACAAAGUUUGAACCAUUUAGCAUUUGGGACCAUGAGGAUUCCGAUUGGGAGAACGACGUCGUCCAUAGAUUAAUGGUGAGACUUUGGUGCUUUGAUUAAUUUCCAGGACCAUUGUUUCCUGUCCAGUGAUGCAAUCUGAAAAUCAUGCAAAAAUUUGUCAUGUUUGGGCAUUGUCAGUAUGGGAACACCGGGCCAACCCA